UACGUAGGGUGCGAGCGUUAAUCGGAAUUACUGGGCGUAAAGCGUGCGCAGGCGGUUUGCUAAGACAGGUGUGAAAUCCCCGGGCUUAACCUGGGAACUGCGCUUGUGACUGGCAGGCUAGAGUACGGCAGAGGGGGGUGGAAUUCCUAGUGUAGCAGUGAAAUGCGUAGAUAUCAGGAGGAACACCGAUGGCGAAGGCAGCCCCCUGGGCCUGUACUGACGCUCAUGCACGAAAGCGUGGGGAGCAAACAGGAUUAGAUA
rnacentral:rRNA from 1 species